UAUGUGAUUCCAUAACUUGUCUAGUUGGAUUGGCUUUAACUGACCAAUAGGCACGAUCUCCGAAAUGCAGCUGUCGCUAUGCACUUUGGGCCGAUCCAGAGCGAGCUCGUACAUUGCAAAUCACAGCAUAUUAUAGAUGUGCGUGAAUAUGCAUGAAAUCACAAACAAAUCGAGCUUUUCGACCUUCAUUGUUCGGAAACCGAAACGGAACGCGUUUAUAUGGCAAGUAGUCAGAAAGAAAUGGCUCCAGUAAUUUGAAAUGACAUCGAAAAUAAGUGCCAAUGCUCACGAUUCUCGAGUAUAAACAAACCUUUGCCGAAUUCAUGUCCCUUUGAUUAUUAACUGCCAUUUAACUUGGCGUGAGAAUAUCAAUUAAAGGUGGCUUCACCCACUCAUAUAUGUAUUUUGUGCUCAGAAGCGUCAGCUUGACCUGGAAAUCAUCGCGUAGACAAGGCGAAACCCCCGCUGCAGGCUCCUAUCGUAGCAGACGACAAACGCUAGCAGACGACGGCUUGGGCGAGAGGCGCAGCUUAUGAUUGGUUGGGAAGCAGUACUCUCCACAUCAGGUCAUCUUAUGACGUUGACAAAACACUUCUUUCAUCGCGCGCUCCUGUCGUGUUCGUCAUAUCUUCCCCCUCGCACAUAAGAGAAAUUUUUAUCUCGCCGUGAAAAACGCGCAAGAGCUUUUUGUGAGCUCUCUUAGCGCUUGCCCCUGCUGCGCAGUUCGCGAAAACAACAUGGCGCCGUAAACUGUAUGUGUCGGUAUGUGUCGGUGCCGAUUUUCGCAAACGCUUGGGUUCCUUCAGCGUUCGACUGGAUGUGCUGUGAAUACCGCUGCUUUUUCGGUGCGCGCAAGCCGUGUGAAGACCGACGGCAGUGUCUCUUGGUGCGCGGUGAAGCGUAGCGAAGCCUGUGCCUCGGUGUGUUUAUGAAGCGGGGAUCGGCGCCUGUGUACCGACGGUAACUAGCACUCGAGGAGCCUGCAGUGCGUGUUUGAGUGUCGGUAACAGUUCGUUUGCUUCGCUUUCCAGUGUCUCAGUAAGGUGCAGUGCGGCAUUUCGAAUUGACAACAUUUCGGCACGUUACUUGAGUGAUUCCGUGCUCGCACGGUAACGCAUGAACUACGCUCUGUAUUUGGUUCUUGCUUCGCCACGGGUUAGCCCGUGCGCUUCUAUUUUCUUGUGAGCAGUCCAGGCAAAUGCAGUGUUCGGGAGUGAAACGAUGUGCGUUGUGAACAGUGGUGCUGUGUUGACAUUUCCAAGACUUGUGAAGAGGCUGUGCCCGUGUGACAGAAUAUUAAAAGCGUUGAUAACCGUGUUUCGCCCUACGAAGUUGCGAUGGUGCUUUAUGAGGGCUUUAAGGAUUUGGCGCUGGGCUUGGCGUUUUCUUUUUAACUCGUUGCUUCUCCUUCUUGUGAUAACCGUAAUUCCGAACGUCAUAACGUGUCGAACCGAAGUCGCACGCCGAGACAUUCUGCUGUAAAUGUGGCUGCUUUGGCAGUACGCCUUGACUGUUCUCCGGUGAAAACUUGGACUUGUACCUGGCAGCGAAAGCACGUGGACGUCACGCUUCGCUCCGAACAGAACACACUUCUCACUGGUGCCUUGCCUUGGAUGAAGUCGUAGACCAGCACCUGCUAACUACAGGUUUUCGAGUCCAUCUGUCCUGUCGUUUUGCACGGCACUGGAGCCUUGACUAUAGCGGCCCACGGCGAUUGCUCACGCUCCACCAGUGGACGUACACGUCUUGCUAGCCUUGCAUUUCUUCGUCAACGGCAGCUUCCAGUUCACAGACGUCUUUUGCCUGUGGCUGCAGAGCACAUUCGAUUCCUGAUGACGCUGACGGCUGCUAAUAUCGUUGUGCCAUCGAUCGCAGACUUUCGUAAGGUCCUGGAAUCCAUCGAUUGCAAGCACCGGAAAAUCAAGCCACCUUAAGACUUGGAGCACCUGUACAGAUAUAGGAAGGACUUGUGCUCCCUAAAUGUACAAGUCUUUUGCAACGGUAGGGGUGUCAUCAUCCAGCCGACCUCAAAGGGGCCUGGAAGCACGCAUGGCAGCCUCAUCUGGAUGGACUGUGCUCUGCCUGGGAGCUUCAAGGGCAGAAAACUGCCUAAUGGCUGGUUGCUAGGUGACUCUCGCUGUGCCUGAGAGCCAUGGGUGCUCAACCUCCUGUCCGUGGCUGGCCCAGCUGAGCAGCAGUGCAGUGCAGCCCCCACCCAUGCAAGACAAGUCAUACAGUGCACCUUUGGUGUUCUGAGCAGGACACAGCAUAUCCGUUCGGCAUGGCAUUGACAGCAAUAGUAAUGAUACAGUAUCACGGGAUCAGGUGCCCCACUGUCAUCUAAUUGUACAGUGUAUCUCGGACAAAACGCACAAGGCCAACAAGUAGACAGCGACUACCAGUGACUGUGUCCUGCUGUUCAAAGUGCACGUCAACAGAAGAAUGCAUUGUGAUAUCUGGAACAGUUUGAAUUGUAUGGUGAGAAUCUGCACAGCUGCAGUUUAAUUGUUGAGCAGUGCGUCAUUCAGCAAUUCCUUGCACUUGAGGAUUCAAAAUUAAUUAAAUUCUGCAUUUAAUAUACGAAACCUUGACAUUAAUGUAAAGCACACUGUAGUGGUAGGGUGCAAAUUAAUUUCGGCUGCCUUGAAUUUUUAACAUGCACGUAAAUCAAAGUGCAUGUGUGUCUCUGCAUUUCACUGCCAUUAGAAACAGCAGCCAUGGUCGGCAACCAAAACCGUGUUUUCAUGUUUCGUAGUGCAAGAAUGAAACCAUUGAAGCGGGUAAUUUUGCACUUGGUCGAUAUAGUCGUUCAGGAUACGCGCAUUAGUAUAGCACAAAUGAUUUUAGGUUUAUAUAAGCUCUGGAAAGUCCUUCUCCACGGAUUAUUUAGAUGCAAGAGGAGCGUCACUAUUCCUAGUACGUCCAACAGCCUUUAGCACCUGUGUAAUGUUAUCCCGUCGCCUGUCUGUCGUCUUCAACAGUCAACCUCUCUGCAUGUACUGUGUAAGUUUUAAUUUUUUUUAUAUAGUGUUUGUUGCCAUAGGUUUCUCCAUAAUGUAAUUGUAUACUCUGCAAAUAGUUUAUCAUCUAUGCAGCUUUGCUCAUUUACUGCUGAAAGUAUUUAUUGCUUUUUGUAGGGUGAUUAUAGCAUGCAUUUACUUAUGCCUUUUGAUGCGUCUGUACAAUGGUUUAGCCUGAAGAAGGCUGUCGGUAUACUCUAAUCUUGAAACUGGCGACUUCGAACAAAUUUCUAGGCUGAUAACCAUUACUACUAUCUUCAGAUAAGCUGUGAUUGCUCCAUGAAAAUGUAUUUAAGAUUCUGUAAACUGUGUCAGGUAAAUGUUUUUAAAUUAUUUUAUUGUUGUCCAUGUUUUAUGCGCCUGAAACAUAAUUACUUCAUCGUGGUACAUUAUCGAAUGUUAUUCUGCACAUUUCUGCUGAUAAACAUUGCAGCUGAGGCCAGCAGCAAGAUAUACAUGCAAGGCACUGAAGCUUCACAUCACAUGCCUUGCCCAGAAGUGCACUUGAAAUUUUUUUUCGAGCGGAAUGAGAGACUGCUAUACAGCAGUCUCUCAUUCGAAGGAAGUCGGCACAUGUGCACACUUUGAAACCUUUUUGAGGAGUGUUUUCAGGAGAAGCAAUAGGGUCUUGACAUGUCAACAACAGCAUUAUUUGUACUGAGGAGCUUAGUAACAGCGAAUUGUUUUAUUUAUGUAUUGGGGGGGGGGGGUCCAGAAUUUGUCCGACCUGUGCCAAUUUUUCAGCCCACGUCACCUAACAUGGCUUGUUAUAGUGUUGUCAAUGUGCCCGACUAUGUAAAUAAACUAUGUGUCAUAUUGCAGACAUGUAACAAAAUGUGAUGCAUUGCGCUUUUCCUUGGCAUCACAUUGUCAGGGGCUCUUUUCUUAUAUAUUGUCGUGGGCUGCCGCCCACGAAAAUGUAUAAAAAUUGCUUGUGAGUGGGCAGCAGCAGAAACUAUGCAUCAAAUUGUUCCAAGAGGGUUCGAGAAAGGCCGAGUUGGCGCAUAAGAGUGGUGAGAGAUUUCUCUCGUAAGUUACUGCCUUGAAACCUCAUGUGCUCAAGACUGAGUGUAUCAGCAUUGUUGUUUUAUAGCAGUUCAUCCUAUUAACUACACCUCAACGUAU